rnacentral:misc_RNA from 1 species
CUGAGUACCGGGUCUCUCAGGCCCUUACUCCCACCCUUUGUGUACCUUACCAUAUUUCAGUUGCUUUGGUGGGACUCUUUUAAUUUCCUUUUUUAGGGGGUUUGAGCCCACCAUUGGAACUUUUUAAACUCUUGAUAAUUGAGAUUGUCUGAGAAUAAAAAUAAAUAAAUUA